ensembl:lncRNA
GGAUAUUCAAUCUGACUGUGUGUGUGUCUUUGUGUGUGUUAUGCGCGUGAUGUGAUGAAUCAAAUCAAUAGAGCGAGUCAAACGUUCCUGUAUCUCUUGUUCUUCACAGCUCUGUUCUUGUUAAUCCUUUUAAUUAUUGGGAGCAGUGUGACUUUUGUCCCUACUUGUGUCAAAGUAUUUGUUAUUUUCAUGUGUGGAAACAGAGUAGAGGAGCUUAUGAAUGCUAAACUGCAUUACAGUUAAAAGCUGUUAAGAGAACAAACUGUUUAAAGACACAAAAUCCUGCAUACAAAGUCCUUGUGGUCGCGUUGCAUCUUCUGUGUUUAGGGGGAAACAGUAAAACAAGGUCGGAGGACGCUUUGACCGGAAACGUCUGGACCAACAGGCCGAAGAAAGGAACCGAAUCAUCCGUCCAAUGAUAUAUGGAGUUCAUCCAUCAAAUGUUUACACAUCACAUCCAAAAUACAGGACACAUUUUGGGUUAAACAGCUAAUCUGUUGAGCAAAGAAUCCUCUUCUGCUGAGCGGUGCGCCUGCAAGUGUGCAUGCGUGAGAGUGAACGUACGCGGGCCUGCGUGACAUGAAGAUGACAUGAAGUUCCACAGCACGCAUGAAUCCAGCCUUUUCUUUCUCGGAAAAGAGAGGCACGUUCUUUGGGUGUCAUAUAAUCUAUCCACGGCAGUGACAAAGUACAUUCACUGAACACAAAGCACGGACGUGGACGAGGCAGACUGAGAGACUUAGAAGUGGAAGAGCUUGUUUGACGAUCUCCCACGCUUUCUUCAACAACAACCUCCUUCAGUCAAAAGUCACCUCACCGG